UACAGAGGUCCCAAGCGUUGUUCGGAUUCACUGGGCGUAAAGGGUGCGUAGGUGGCUUGGCAAGUCUGAUGUGAAAUCUCGGAGCUCAACUCCGAAACUGCAUUGGAUACUGCCGGGCUGGAGGGUCGGAGGGGGGACUGGAAUUCUCGGUGUAGCAGUGAAAUGCGUAGAUAUCGAGAGGAACACCAGUGGCGAAGGCGAGUCCCUGGACGACUCCUGACACUGAGGCACGAAAGCUAGGGGAGCAAACAGG
rnacentral:rRNA from 1 species